rnacentral:lncRNA from 1 species
UUGAACAAAGUGAAAUGUUUUUAUUCUAUUUGUGAAUAUAUUUGUAUCAUCUCCCUUGAACAUAUGAUAUAGUCAAAUAACGUACGAUAAUAUGCUUUUAAUUGGAGAAUUUGCUAUUUUGCAAUACAGCUUAGAUAACCCACCAAGAAGUUUGUUUGAAUUCGCAUUUUUUAUAUAUAUAUAUAUAUUUACACCAGAGCAAAUGUAAAAAGCGUUUAGGUGGAUUAAUUAAAAAAUUCUCUUGUCAGUUUGACAACUAUAAGUUAGGGAUGGAUGAAAGUUUAAAGAACAUUUGAGAAUAUUCAAACUUAUGUGGGGGAAGUGUACCAUGUCCAAUAUAUUUCUUUUUAUUUGUUAAAUUCACAUAUUUUAAAUUGUGAUUCAUUUAAUUAGAACAGAAAUGUUUAUCAUGUGUUGAAAUAACUACUGGUAUUCGAUUUUAAGCCGAGAUACUAUGGAUUUUUGAUUGACUGAAAACAAUUUUGAAAUGGAUUGAUUUUUGCAGUUAACAAGUUUGAUUGUGUUAGUGCACGUGUAGUACAAGUUUCGCAGUAAUAUCAGUGUAAGAAUAUAACCUAAAAUGAAACAAUGGUGCGAAAGCAUACAAAAUAUUAAAGUAUGUAUACUUAAUGUGGAGAAAUGAUCCACUUACUCCACUAUACCUUAUCUUUUGUUUGUGUGAAUAUAUGUAUGAUUGACACAAAAUAAUGACACAAGAUAGUAUCCUAAUAAUAUUGCAGGUUACUUUCGUGAAUAUUAGGUGCACUUUGUUGAUCACACUUAUUUUCUUUCUCGGAGGCGGUUGCCGAUAAUCAUUUAGCAAAUUCAUUUAAAAACAAACGUUUUCAAUGGAAUCAAUGAAAAAGAUCGCAUAACUGGCAACCUUGCUCGCCCUUCGGUGGUGAUGGAAGACAAAAAACCAAAACAAAACAGUGAAAGACACAGGAAAAAUUGGUAGCAUGUGGCUUUUCAUGACAUUUCUCUUUUUCAAAAUGCUGUGAGAUCACAAGGCUGCACUUUGCCAUCACACUUCUAAAGGCCCAAACGCAAUGAUAGCGGAACGGCAACGGGAAGCGGAACCGGUUCGUGAUCAUUUAAAACUGUUCUUUCAACGAUCAAAAUCGUUUAAUUUUGAAAGCGUUUAUUGGGUUUAGCUUGAGAAUAUUAUAAGCUUUCAUCAUCAUCAAUAAUAUCCAUAGAAAUUAGAGUUUUCGAUUAAUAAUUAGGGGUUUAUUUCUUAUACCGCUAUAAUGGGCAAAUUUCCCUACUUAUGGCUUAUGAUUCAAUUACUAACACUGUAGUUUUGUUUGAAAUGUCUCAAAUAACGUUCGGACAGACCCCACGGAACAUCCGUAUAAAUUCAGAACCAAACGUCCCAGUACAUUUUGUAGAGAAGAGAAGAGAAAUAAAUAAAUUAUAUAAUAAACUCACUGAAAUGAAAAACUAAUAAUCAUCGUGUAGCUUUCUUAUUUUACAAUUCCGAAAAAAAGAAACAAACAAAUUCCCCACAACCCUCGUACGUUUGCCUAGAAUUUCGAAUACUCAGCGUAUCAGCAAAAAAAAAAAAAAAAAAAAAGAAAAAGGCGCGCAAUUCAUUGUCCAAUAGGGGAAUUUGAAAAUUUCCCCUCCACUAGACUGAUAUCUGAUCGGGUAUAAAUAUGCCCAGCACUCCGGUACUGAGCUCAUUCUACAUUCGGACGCGGACACGAUUGUGACUUCUUCUACAAGUCAACAUUCGACUAGCCACCAGCCAGCACGCGCAGAAAUCGGCGCGAAACCCAAUCGGACGAGCCAGCCAACCGACGCGAAAAGCGUCGCGUAACCACCACUUGAGCGAGGGGCCAUCCGGCUACAAAACCACCAGUUUGAGGCCCACGCGAGUCAUUCGGAAAUCGAACGGCGCAGCAGAAGCAUCAGAGCAGCAGCAAGUCUUCAAGAGGCAAACACCCCCUCGAGCGUGAGAUCGAUCACCUGACGGACAGCCAGCCAAAGCGGGACGCGAAAAAAAAAAACCCGCGCAAUUCGCGGUUGCUAGGGCAACCAACGCGUGGGCAGCCAGCGCUCUCAUCGAAGCAAGAACGGAUCGGAUCGAAUCAUCGCGUGUGUGCAACCGAAGGCGCGAAAAUUGAAACACGUGCUUCUGGAGAAGCGCAGCAAGGGUCGAAUUAUCCCCUAAUCCACCAAACCGGUGCGGCACGAUGGAUCACGUGGAACGAGCUCGCAGCGGCGAUGAGGACAUCGAACCUAGUCGCAAACCGCGAGUUCACGACAAUGGCACAGUCGGUACGACCGAAAAAUCUUCUAAAAGGAAGUCCAAGAAAAGUGAUACAACGAAGAUGCUUUUGGAGGAAAUAUCAGCCAUGAGGAAGGAAUUGGCCCAGCUUCGCAACGAGAAAGACGCUUUGUUGCACUCCACGACUGGUUCCAAGGCAUCAAACGAGUUUGGGUCAACUGAAGCAAGCACCGCUGAAUCUUUUGGUGCGGUUGGAGAGACCAUCCUGGCCAGCGUGAAUAACAUGUCGCUGAGUACAAUGACCAUUCCCGAGUGUGUUCCAUCUGAUGGGGAAUCUGACAUUGACAAAAAAGGAUAUGAAUAUUGGAAG